rnacentral:rRNA from 1 species
GAACGAUGAUGCCCAGCUUGCUGGGUGGAUUAGUGGCGAACGGGUGAGUAACACGUGAGUAACCUGCCCCUGACUCUGGGAUAAGCGUUGGAAACGACGUCUAAUACUGGAUAUGAUCACUGGCCGCAUGGUCUGGUGGUGGAAAGAUUUUUUGGUUGGGGAUGGACUCGCGGCCUAUCAGCUUGUUGGUGAGGUAAUGGCUCACCAAGGCGACGACGGGUAGCCGGCCUGAGAGGGUGACCGGCCACACUGGGACUGAGACACGGCCCAGACUCCUACGGGAGGCAGCAGUGGGGAAUAUUGCACAAUGGGCGAAAGCCUGAUGCAGCAACGCCGCGUGAGGGAUGACGGCCUUCGGGUUGUAAACCUCUUUUAGUAGGGAAGAAGCGAAAGUGACGGUACCUGCAGAAAAAGCACCGGCUAACUACGUGCCAGCAGCCGCGGUAAUACGUAGGGUGCAAGCGUUGUCCGGAAUUAUUGGGCGUAAAGAGCUCGUACGCGGUUUGUCGCGUCUGCUGUGAAAUCCCGAGGCUCAACCUCGGGCUUGCAGUGGGUACGGGCAGACUAGAGUGCGGUAGGGGAGAUUGGAAUUCCUGGUGUAGCGGUGGGAAUGCGCAGAUAUCAGGAGGAACACCGAUGGCGAAGGCAGAUCUCUGGGCCGUAACUGACGCUGAGGAGCGAAAGCAUGGGGAGCGAACAGGAUUAGAUACCCUGGUAGUCCAUGCCGUAAACGUUGGGCGCUAGAUGUAGGGACCUUUCCACGGUUUCUGUGUCGUAGCUAACGCAUUAAGCGCCCCGCCUGGGGAGUACGGCCGCAAGGCUAAAACUCAAAGGAAUUGACGGGGGCCCGCACAAGCGGCGGAGCAUGCGGAUUAAUUCGAUGCAACGCGAAGAACCUUACCAAGGCUUGACAUACACCGGAAACGGCCAGAGAUGGUCGCCCCCUUGUGGUCGGUGUACAGGUGGUGCAUGGUUGUCGUCAGCUCGUGUCGUGAGAUGUUGGGUUAAGUCCCGCAACGAGCGCAACCCUCGUUCUAUGUUGCCAGCGGGUUAUGCCGGGGACUCAUAGGAGACUGCCGGGGUCAACUCGGAGGAAGGUGGGGAUGACGUCAAAUCAUCAUGCCCCUUAUGUCUUGGGCUUCACGCAUGCUACAAUGGCCGGUACAAAGGGCUGCGAUACCGUAAGGUGGAGCGAAUCCCAAAAAGCCGGUCUCAGUUCGGAUUGAGGUCUGCAACUCGACCUCAUGAAGUCGGAGUCGCUAGUAAUCGCAGAUCAGCAACGCUGCGGUGAAUACGUUCCCGGGCCUUGUACACACCGCCCGUCAAGUCAUGAAAGUCGGUAACACCCGAAAG